CAGCUAUAUCACGUUGAAACACCAGUUCCCGUAAGUUAAGCAACGCUGAGCGUGAUUAGUAUCUAAAUGGGUGACCGCUGGGGAAUACCAGAUGCUGCAAG